rnacentral:ncRNA from 1 species
CGUGGGGCCACACGCGCGCUAAAGUGACGGUACCAGAGAGUCUGAGAACCUUACUCAAAAUGUUUGGGUAGACUGUUUCAUCAUCGCCGUGACAGGGGUCAGGGCCUGCAAUUAUUCCAUGUGAACGAGGAAUUUCUGGUAAGUGGAAGUCAUAAGCUUUCUCAGGUUAUGUUUCUGUCCUUUGUGCACAACACCCAUAGCUACUAAGGAGUGAAUGGUUUAGUGACUCUGUUGUUCCAGUGGCUUAACCACUUGACUGAUGCUGAGAAAACCACCUAACUUCACUGUUUAGAAGUAAAAGUCAUAACAAAAGUGUCAGUAUUUGAAUCUAUGGUAGGAUCAUUC